rnacentral:rRNA from 1 species
AAGCUAAGGAGCAGUAUGAGAGGCAAACCCCUCAUAUAAUGCGAGAGAGUGAAGCGUAGCGAACAUAAGGGUAGCGAAGUGUGUGGAGAGGCUGUCAGGAAAAGCCGCUAUAGUGUAUCAUGAACCCGUACCGUAAACCGACACAGGUGGAUGAGGAGAGAAUCCUAAGGCCGACGGAAGAAGCAUUGUUAAGGAAUUCGGCAAAAUGACCCCGUAACUUCGGGAGAAGGGGUGCCUGCGCAAGCAGGUCGCAGAGAAUUGGUCCAAGCAACUGUUUAGCAAAAACACAGGUUUAUGCGAAACCGAAAGGUGAAGUAUAUGAGCUGACGCCUGCCCGGUGCUGGAAGGUUAAGGGGAGUGCUUAGACUUCGGUCGAAGGUGCGAACUUAAGCCCCAGUAAACGGCGGCCGUAACGAUAACGGUCCUAAGGUAGCGAAAUUCCUUGUCGGGUAAGUUCCGACCCGCACGAAAGGUGUAAUGAUUUGGGCGCUGUCUCGACAAUGCAUCCGGUGAAAUUGAAGUACCAGUGAAGAUGCUGGUUACCCGCGCCAGGACGGAAAGACCCCAUGGAGCUUUACUCUAGUUUGAUGCUGGGAUUCGAUACUGCAUGUACAGGAUAGGCGGGAGACUGAGAAGUAGUGACGUCAGUUGCUACAGAGUCGCUGUUGGGAUACCGCCCCUGCAGUAUUGGGUUUCUAACCUGCGGCCGUAAGCCGGUCGGGGGACAACGUCAGGCGGGGAGUUUGACUGGGGCGGUCGCCUCCGAAAGGGUAUCGGAGGCGCUCAAAGGUUCCCUCAGAAUGGUCGGAAACCAUUCGAAGAGUGCAAAGGCAGAAGGGAGCUUGACUGCGAGACCGACGGGUCGAGCAGGUACGAAAGUAGGACUUAGUGAUCCGGUGGUAUGAAAGUGGGAUUGCCAUCGCUCAACGGAUAAAAGCUACCCUGGGAUAACAGGCUUAUCACUCCCAAGAGUUCACAUCGACGGAGUGGUUUGGCACCUCGAUGUCGGCUCAUCGCAUCCUGGGGCUGUAGCAGGUCCCAAGGGUUGGGCUGUUCGCCCAUUAAAGCGGUACGCGAGCUGGGUUCAGAACGUCGUGAGACAGUUCGGUCCCUAUCCGGCGCGGGCGUAGGAUAUCUGAAAGGAGCUGGCCUUAGUACGAGAGGACCGGGCUGGACGAACCGCUGGUUCACCUGUUGUCAUACCAAUGGCAUAGCAGGGUAGCCAAGUUUGGAAGGGAUAAACGCUGAAGGCAUCUAAGCGUGAAGCCCCCCUUAAGAUAAGAUAUCCCUGGAGUAAUCCAGUAAGACCCCUUGAAGACGACGAGGUAGAUAGGGCAGAGGUGGAAGUGUGGUAACACAUGCAGCUGACUGUCACUAAUAGGUCGAGGGCUCG